rnacentral:rRNA from 1 species
GAUGAACGCUGGCGGCGUGCCUAAUACAUGCAAGUCGAGCGAACAGACGAGGAGCUUGCUCCUCUGACGUUAGCGGCGGACGGGUGAGUAACACGUGGAUAACCUACCUAUAAGACUGGGAUAACUUCGGGAAACCGGAGCUAAUACCGGAUAACAUGUUGAACCGCAUGGUUCAACAGUGAAAGACGGUUUUGCUGUCACUUAUAGAUGGAUCCGCGUCGCAUUAGCUAGUUGGUAAGGUAACGGCUUACCAAGGGGACGAUGCGUAGCCGACCUGAGAGGGUGAUAGGCCACACGGGAACGUGGACACGGACCAUACUCCUACGGGAGGCAGCAGUAGGGAAUCUUCCGCAAUGGGCGGAAGCCUGACGGAGCAACGCGGCGUGAGUGAAGAAGGUCUUCGGAUCGUAAAACUCUGUUAUUAGGGAAGAACAAAUGUGUAAGUAACUAUGCACGUCUUGACGGUACCUAAUCAGAAAGCCACGGCUAACUACGUG